UUGUCAGCAGGUGGGGGCAGCACCGGCAAUAAACAUCAGAAAUGGAUGAUGUGGUAGAGGAUGCCAUGGAAGGAAGGAAGAACAGCCCGGGGGAGAAACAAUGACUUUUUAACUCGGCUCCUUUCAGAAGAAGGCUUUAUUAGCAUCCUUAUCUUACCGAAGACCCAGGAAGACAUCGGGUCCAAAAGGGCAAAGUCAAUUCGCUCUCAUCCUAGACACUGCAAAAGUCAUUCUGGCUCAUCCUCAGAGUCAGUCGCAAAACCGUUUCCUAGCCUGCCGUGAGCACAUCCCAGCUUCUGGUGGGCCCUGGACUGGAUGACCCGCACCGGGGUGGCCGCUCUAGACAGAGAGGAAGUGUGGAAGUGUCAGACCCCGUGAAGCGAGCACGUCGACUUUGGGACUUGUGGCUGUCAGCAACCUGGUGCCUGAUAAGCUUCCCUGGACAUAAGAUGACUGUGAAGGGAUGUUUUGAUGAAUUAAGUAAAAAAUGAAUCACAAACAUGUGGAAUACAUUUUCCUCACCGCGCUUGAGAUUUAAAACUUACAGGGAGAAGUAUUUGGCCACGUUUGCCAAACCCAAGAAGCAUUUGAAAGCAAGCCAGCCAAAGACAUUUCGUGGAGACCGGCUGGCUUUGCUCAGCUUUGCUCAUAAAGAGGAUCCGUAAAGAAAUCACUCCAGCCUUUCCGAGCACCGUCAGCCCCUGAUGCCUAGGGGAAGGAAUGACUAAGAUCAUGCCUACCGGGUCCGAAGGCCAGGAAGAUGCCCCUCAUGGUUCUGAGCUCGUUGUCAUAUCCGUGCCAGCCCCAUUGCCAGCCUUCUGCCUUGCGGGUGAUGGUGCUGUUCAUCCAGAAUGGAAGCGACUCUCGAUUCUGAAAUCAACAAAGCAUUAACAUCACCCGGUGACCAGGCCAGGGGCCCAGCCUCGGAAGCCCAGAGGCAGCAGGCCUGCACCACCCCAGGAGCCCCUCCACUGGAGGACCACCCCUGUCCUCUGUUUAUCCAGCUUCACCCCGAGGAGCAACUCCAAGCACAGAAGUCCUCCUCCUCUCCAUUGAGUUAGCCUUUGAAGAUGGCCCCAUGUUCCUCUCCUCCACGCCUUGUGGAUCUUCAUGUCCUUUGACCAUUCUUCAUUCAGGAUGGCUUCCAGACCUGUUGCUGCCCUGUCACCCUUCUUUCCUUCAGAACUAAAUUUCCCUAGACUAUAGUAGCUUACUUGAGAGACAACAAAGCUCACAGGAGGUUUUGCAAAUCCCGAGGAGACUAGCCAGCUGGACACAAACCGAGCUCUUCGAGGUGAACUGAGAUUUCAUUCCUGAUAGUCCGUCAUCUUCUGGCUCAGCAGGGUUUAAUAUGACAAGUUUUCCAAAUGAAGGAGGUAGAACUGACUGGUCGUGAUGAAUGCGUGGAAGCAGCACAGCUCAAGGACCAGGGAUUUACAGGUCAGCUUCCCUGGUAGCUCAGACAAUAAAGAAUCUGCCUUCAAUGCAGGAGACCUGGGUUUGAUUCCUGGGUCAGGAAGAUCCCCUGGAGAAAGGAAUGGCAACCCACUCCAGUAUUCUUGCCUGGAGAAUCCCAUGGACAGAGGAGCCUGGCAGGCUACAGUCCGUGGGGUCACAGAGACCGACACGACAGAGGGACUAACCCUUUUGCAAGACUUGUAACAGCACAUGUAUGCCGUUUUGUGUACGGUUCACCAAGAGCCUCCCCCGACAUCCACUGGCGUCAACACCUGCUGCGGACGGUAUUUUUUUUUUUUUCCCAUUUUGGCACAGAGAGGUUAAGUGACACUCUUAAAGUCACGCAACUGUUGGGAGGCAGGGCUGGGCUUGGAAGCCAGGGCGUCAGUCUCCUGGUCUUGGUAUACCUUCCAGGACCCCACAGCCAGAGGUCACUGCAGGGGUCCUGUAGCCUGUCCCUUGCCUCUUCAUUCACAGAGUGGCAGCCAGUAUGGAGAUGAAAUUUUGAAUAGGAUGUGGGUUCAAUUCCAGUUUGUUGCUUUCCAACUCUGUGAUGCUGGGCAAGCUGCAUAACUUGUCUGAGCUUCAGCUUCCUUGCUGAAUGUGACAACACCUGCCUCAGAGACUCUGAGGGAUAACCUGAUUGUGUGCUAAGCCCUACACACAGUAGGUGCUCAAUAAACAGCCAGGGGCAGUCGCCAGAUGCCACCGGCUGCAGGGUGAGGUGCUCGGGGCUUGUGCAGCAGGGUUGAACCCUCCUUUGCUUCUUUAGCUGUCAUAUCACAUUGCACGCCCGUCCCGUCUCACCCCAUAAAUCGCUCCCUGGCAUUACUGCUUUCCAAAUCGCACUGUUUCAUUGACUCUCUGUUUCCUCAAUUUCCAUCCCUCCUUCUCCAGCUGUAGCUUGUAUUUUUCCAUGGGAAUAUAUUUAUUAACUUACUGCCUUUCUGGCUUAUACCCUCUUUUGUUCUUUGUGGUCAUGCUCACGAUACAUGCCAGCUUAGCUUCGUUUGCUAAUUUCACGUGCUGCUCCCCUCCCCAUCCCAGUCUACAAGGCAGUGAUUCCCAAAGAACUAGGUAGGACAUGUCACUAGCGGUGUCACUAAUCAUGAACCCCAUGGGACACACAUGUCCCAUGGGGGAGGGACAGGUGGAAGGGAGACGAAGACUGCCUGAUUUGAAAAUUCCAGUCUAACUUCCACAUGCAAACAUACAGCAACGAGGCAUCUCAGCCCUGAAGAUGACGGGAGAUCUGGAUGAUUGCAGGUAAAGCCACUGAUAUUUUUAUUAACACGACAAUUUGCUCUCGUGAAACAACUGUUCUUGCAUUUUUUGUUUUUUGAAACAACUAUGUUUACUGAUUUCAAAAAGUAAUAAUAACCUGGCUAGUUAUGUGAGAGGCUAAGUGACUGAUUACGUGACAUAAUCAGACUGAGUGGAUUACAUGACAUAAUCUAAUUACAUGACUUAAUGAACCUCAAGAAGGAGUUGAUGAAUUUUCCCCUUGUCCUUCCUGGUGGCUUUCACUGAUUCACUUGGUCCUGUGUGCCCCCCCCACCCCCCAAAACACACACAUUAUCACACCAGUGCGGGCCCGUGCAGCCGUGUAAUGCACACCUCACACGUGCAGCCCUGCUGGUGAGGCGCUCCAAACCUCCCGCGUCCCCAGGCUGGGGGGUCCUCAGGUUACUGGUUGAGGAGCCUCCAUCCCUCCUGAACCUUCCGGGUCCAGGGACCUCCACACAGCGCCACCUAGCGACAUCCUGGGGAGGUGCCCGGGCCCUCCAGAUGAAAGCGUGCGUGCGUGCGUGCGUGCGUGCGUGCGUGUGUGUGUCUGACUUGGGGCAGUGCGGACACAGAGGAGUCCCUGCAAGGCCAGGGGAUCUUGCGUAGUGACUGCAUGUGGGAAGCGCAUGAGAAGGAAGCACCGUGAGGACGCUGGAAGGAGUGAGGCGGUUUCUCUACGAGGUUGUGCCAGUCAGAGGGGCUGACCAACCGCCCUGGUUGGCCCAGGACUGAGGA